rnacentral:rRNA from 1 species
GAAAUACCACCCUUGUAUGUUUGAUGUUCUAACUUAGACCCGUUAUCCGGGUUGAGGACAGUGCCUGGUGGGUAGUUUGACUGGGGCGGUCUCCUCCCAAAGAGUAACGGAGGAGCACGAAGGUGGGCUAAUCACGGUUGGACAUCGUGAGGUUAGUGCAAUGGCAUAAGCCCGCUUAACUGCGAGAAUGACGGUUCGAGCAGGUGCGAAAGCAGGUCAUAGUGAUCCGGUGGUUCUGUAUGGAAGGGCCAUCGCUCAACGGAUAAAAGGUACUCCGGGGAUAACAGGCUGAUACCGCCCAAGAGUUCAUAUCGACGGCGGUGUUUGGCACCUCGAUGUCGGCUCAUCACAUCCUGGGGCUGAAGUCGGUCCCAAGGGUAUGGCUGUUCGCCAUUUAAAGUGGUACGCGAGCUGGGUUUAGAACGUCGUGAGACAGUUCGGUCCCUAUCUGCCGUGGGCGUUGGAAGAUUGAAGGGGGCUGCUCCUAGUACGAGAGGACCGGAGUGGACGAACCUCUGGUGUUCGGGUUGUGUCGCCAGACGCAUUGCCCGGUAGCUAAGUUCGGAAUUGAUAAGCGCUGAAAGCAUCUAAGCGCGAAGCGAGCCCUGAGAUGAGUCUUCCCUGAUACUUUAAGUAUCCUAAAGGGUUGUUCGAGACUAGAACGUUGAUAGGCAGGGUGUGUAAGCGUUGUGAGGCGUUGAGCUAACCUGUACUAAUUGCCCGUGAGGCUUAACCAU